UACGAAGGGAGCUAGCGUUGUUCGGAAUCACUGGGCGUAAAGCGCACGUAGGCGGAUUUGUAAGUCAGGGGUGAAAUCCCGGGGCUCAACCUCGGAACUGCCUUUGAUACUGCAAAUCUCGAGUCCGAUAGAGGUGGGUGGAAUUCCUAGUGUAGAGGUGAAAUUCGUAGAUAUUAGGAAGAACACCGGUGGCGAAGGCGGCCCACUGGAUCGGUACUGACGCUGAUGCGCGAAAGCCAGGGGAGCGAACGGG
rnacentral:rRNA from 1 species